UUGAACGCUGGCGGCAGGCCUAACACAUGCAAGUCGAGCGGAUGAAGGGAGCUUGCUCCUGGAUUCAGCGGCGGACGGGUGAGUAAUGCCUAGGAAUCUGCCUGGUAGUGGGAGAUAACGUCCGGAAACGGGCGCUAAUACCGCAUACGUCCUGAGGGAGAAAGUGGGGGAUCUUCGGACCUCACGCUAUCAGAUGAGCCUAGGUCGGAUUAGCUAGUUGGUGGGGUAAAGGCCUACCAAGGCGACGAUCCGUAACUGGUCUGAGAGGAUGAUCAGUCACACUGGAACUGAGACACGGUCCAGACUCCUACGGGAGGCAGCAGUGGGGAAUAUUGGACGAUGGGCGAAAGCCUGAUCCAGCCAUGCCGCGUGUGUGAAGAAGGUCUUCGGAUUGUAAAGCACUUUAAGUUGGGAGGAAGGGCAGUAAGUUAAUACCUUGCUGUUUUGACGUUACCAACAGAAUAAGCACCGGCUAACUUCGUG
rnacentral:rRNA from 1 species